rnacentral:sRNA from 1 species
UCAUCAAGUUGAAUCUCAACUGAAUAAGCUAAAUCAUCUCCUCACUGAUAUUCUUGCUGAUGUGAAGACAAAAAGAAAAACUUUGGCAAAUAAUAAAUUACAUCAAAUGGAAAGAGAAUUCUAUGUAUAUUUUUUAAAAGAUGAAGAUUAUCUGAAAGAUAUUGUGGAGAAUUUAGAAACUCAAUCAAAGAUUAAGGCUGAUUUUGUGAAAAUGGAAAAUUAUGAGGCAUUGGUAGGCUUUGAGCUCUGUAAUACACCGCUCUCCAGUGUUGCUCAGAAGAUUAUGUCUGCUAUGCAUUCAGGUGAUUUAGUGGAUUCUAAGACUUGGGGAAAGAGUACAGAGACUAUGGCAGUGAUAAACAAGUCCAGUGUGAAGUAUUCAGUACAACUUGAAGACAGGAAGAGUCAAUCACCAGAAAAAAAGGAUCUUAAGUCUUUAAGAAGUCAGACAUCAAGAGGUUCCGCCAAGCUCUCUCCUCAGUCCUUCAGUGUCAGGCUCACAGAUCAGCUGUCUACUGACCAAAAACAGAAGAGCAUCAGCUCAUUGACUCUUUCAAGUUGUUUAAUUCCACAGUAUAAUCAACA